CAAUGGCGUAAACAAAGGGAAGCGAGCAUGUGAAUGUGAGCAAAUCCCAAAAAUAACGUCUCAGUUCGGAUUGUAGUCUGCAACUCGACUACAUGAAGCUGGAAUCGCUAGUAAUCGCGAAUCAGUAUGUCGCGGUAAAUACGUUCCCGGGUCUUGUACACACCGCCCGUCACACCAUGGGAGUCAGUAACGCCCGAAGCCGGUGACCCAACCAAACGGAGGGAGCCGUCGAAGGUGGGACCGAUAACUGGGGUGAAGUCGUAACAAGGUAUC
rnacentral:rRNA from 1 species